UAGUACAACCGAGGUGCGGAGGGCUGUCGCUGACUUUUUGUCGUGCACGCCCGAAGCGCUCUCACACAAUAUCCAUCUCACCCAUUUGUGCAUCAUCGCGUGGGUCCUGCUUUUUGGCUUGUUCCGAGGAGGGGGGCUCGCGUUUUCACACAAAACACUAGUUGCAUGUUUAUAGAAUGAUUAUUUGAUUGAAUAUAUAAAUA
rnacentral:misc_RNA from 1 species